AUGAUAUAUUUAGGGAUAAUGUACUGUCAUGGAGAGUAAGCCCAUGCUUGGAGAGAUGGAGAAAUACCAGAGAGCUAAACCUGGACAGAGAUGAGACUGGGGAAAGAGUUGGGAACACAGAGUAUCUUUCCUCUUGGGGAGGGAAGUGUGAUGCCCAUUCAUAUGCACAGUCCUCCCACAGAGAACUUCUAGACCCAAUGGAGAGCAGCUUUGGAGAAACAGUAACAGAGACAAUGGAAUUCCUAGGGGAGAGAUUAGAUUAGAGAUUAGAACUUUUUUAUAACAGCCAGCCUUCUGGAGAGAAGAAGGGUUCGUUCCUGGACUCAGGCUCCUAGCUGGAUAUGAACUUCUAAGUGACUUCUGGAACCAAACCUUAUGGAGAGAAGAGAGAUGAGCAUAUGGCCCCAAAGUAAAGGAGUAGCAAAGAACUGAGCCACCAUGUGAGAAAGGGAGCUUUAUCCUCAUCCUUCAUUACUAUGGGGCCCAUACCAAAACUGUAUUCUGCUGUUCCCUGGGGAUAUUCUGGUUGGAGGCAAGAUCCAAAGAGUCAUUUGUGGGAAGCUCUGGAAUACUGAAGCAGCAUAAAAACAACAGUGAGAGUGGACUAUAUUCUUUGGAUUCCUCUGGACAGAACCCUUAGAAAUGUGUGAAAAAGAAACCUCUGUUUGAAGUUAUUGUUCUAUGUUUCGGGGGAAAGAAGUGAAAAGGAAUAUGAGGGGAUUGUACCAGUCCACAGACACAUGUGUCUCAACAUUACCAUUGUUCAUCUCCAGCAACAUCAUCAUCAGCUAAAACAAUACUACUUCAAUAAGAGAAGAGAGCCUAGAGUCAACCAUAGUCAGGGGACAUUGUAUAGAAGGUGAGUCAGGAAUGAUAAAGGUCAACAACAGAUAGCUAAAUAUUGCUCAGUUUUUAAAAUGUAACUGAAACUGGCUUAUCUUUAUAUGGAGCCUAUGAAAUAGAGAAGAUCCAUGACUGGAAACAAAAGGCCCUUUAGGGUAGGGUAGCACCCUAAUUUAUUGGAACAAUAUAUCAAAAAGUAGCUAACUAUGUGUGUUGUUUGCAGACACUGUGUUGAUAAUUUUAGAUCUGAUCAUUGCCAUUGUAAAUUCUAGAAAACAAGAGUCAAAAAUAUGGCCAAUAUCAGUUAUGUAGUGAUAUGUUAUAAAUUGUGUAACACAUCACCUGAUUACAAAAAUUGAGCUGAAUAUCUAGCUGAAUCAACUUAGUAGCCAGAUCUAUACCCUGGACAUUUUUUAUCUUUCAUAAACUAAUAGACAACUAAUCUCGUAGCAAACACAUGGUCCACAAAAUGUCCUUAAAAAGACAGUAAAUAAACUAUCUGCUUAAUGGAAUAUAAAGUCUGAGAGGUAAUAAGUCCCAUAUUAUUCAUAGCAAGAAAUGUGAUGAAUGAAAUAAUAAUUUAGAGUCUGUAGAGCCAGAGCAUUAUUUCAAGCAAAAUUGUUACCCACAAUUCCAUGAACUUUAUAUCAAUCUAGGCAACAUGAUUGAGAAAAACAGAUGGAUAGAAUGUCAGUCCUGCAGUGAGGAAGACCUGAGUUCAAAUCCAGCCUCAGAUUUUUAUUUUAUUAUUGCUCAGGCAUACACAGCCUCACUAGCUGUGUAUGCCUGAGCAAGUCACUUCAUCCUAUUUAUCUCAGUUUCUUCUUCUGUCAAACAAGCUAGAGAAGGAAAUGACAAACCACUCUAGCACCUCUACCAAAAAUCUUCCAAAUGGGGUCAUGAAGAGUCAGACAUUCUGAAAUAACUAAACAAGAGCAUUAUUAAUCUAUAUGAGUUUACGAAUGAUAUUUAAAGAUGUCAUGAUAUUAAAUAACCAUCAUUUGUAAACUAUGUGAUUGGAAAGGUUUCAAAUAUAGAGAUGCAGAAGGAAUCAAAACCAACCGAGGACAACAUUUUGGUAGUAGGAAUAUAUACUCAGAGUCAUGAACUGGGCAAGUAGUUUUCUUUGAAAAGUAUGGAAACUUUUUUAAAGACUCAAUUGACUCAGAUAUUUAAAGACUGACAUGAUGUAUCUUCCUUGGGCUUUAGAUACAAAAGUCAGGUCACAAAUAGUCUCCUGGUCUUUGACCAACAGACCUGUAGCAUGACUAAUACAGGAAAUCUCUGCUUCACUGAAUCAAGGCAAUACUCUUUUACUGCUGGAAAUGCCUUUUCCUUUCUAUGGCUAAGUAAAUUUCCAUUUGUAAACUGUUAUAUGGACUAUCCAUGUUUCAUUUCAUUCUAAUUUAUAACUCACAACCAGUAUGAUCUAAAACAAAGUUGAAAUAAACAAUAUCCUGUUAUCUUGUUGCCAUUAGAAUUACUGCAAAUAUGGUUGGACAGCAUAAAGAAAGGUUGGUUUUCAUCGUGAUACUUUUGUUGUUGCCUUGUAUGGUGUAGCCUUCUAAAUCUUUCUCUUCCUAUUGUUUUAGUGGACUACCCUACUUAGAUCCACACUGGCAGGUCUCAUUUGAUCUACCAAUAAUGUUAUGAAGUAGGUUUUAUUAUUGUUCAGUCAUUUUCAGACAUGUCUGUCUCUUCGCGAGCUCUUUAGAGAUUUUCUUGGCAAAGAUGAUAGAGGGGUCUUCCUUUUCCUGCUCCAGCUCAUUUUUCUGAUCUGGAAACUGAGGCAAACAAAGUUAAGUGCCUUCUCUGGGGCUAUAAAGUUAGUAAGUGUGUGAGGCUGGAUUUAAACACAGGUCUUCCUAACUCCAGGACUGACUUUCUAUCCAUUGUGCCACCAAGCUGCCCAUAGGUUUUAUUAUAUCUAUAUUUAAUAUUUGAAAGCAAGUCAUAGGCAGGUGAAGUGGCUAAUUGAGGGUCAUAAAUCGAACAUGUUUAUUGCAUGAGAUUUGAGAUUUCAUGUCAAAAAUUCUAACUACAGCAGCACUUGAAUAAAAUGUAUAGAAAACAUGCCUGCUCAGUUUCUAUCUCUAAGGGGAGAUAGACAAGGGAUCAUAGGAAUUAUGAGGCCUAAAUUGGAAGAAAUCUUUGAGACCAAGAAGUCUGAUACCCUUCAUUUACAGAUGACGGGUUUGAAUCUCAGAAAAAAUUAUGUAACUUGCUCAAAUUCACACAGGUAGUAGGCAAAGUAGUUAUGCCAAUCUUUGAAGCUAGAUUCUUUGAUUCCUUAUCUUUUGUCUUUGAGGGAGUAGAGGAUGGCACAGUGGGCCAGUAGCAGAGAGAGAAGUUAAGGAGAGAAGAAUGAGGGGAGAAAAAAAUAAGAACAAUGAAGCAGAAUGAAUCACAUUUCAACCAAUUGGUUCAACAGGUAUUGCCAUUAUGUUUCCGAUAUCCUGUAUCUGCAUCUUAAUUAUUUUACCCUUACUGAGUCUGUCCUUUCUCUGGGAUUCUAUAGAAUUAAAAUAAAAUCAAGCAGACUGACCAUCAAGUCUGUCUAAUACUAUAAACUCCCAAGUCAUUCCAUUUAUGUUAGUUCUAUUUCUUUGUCUCUAAGCUACACAGUAUUGGGUAGAGAAAUAGCCCUGAGUACCUUAUUAUUGACUGGUAGUCCUAGAAAGAACAUAGAAUUAAUCUUGUCUAACUCUUUCAUUUAACAGAAAAGGAGAUUGAGGUAUAUGGAGGGAAAGUGAAAAGUAGAUAUGGGUUGAUUUUUAGUCCUAAUAAUUCUCCAAGAGUUUUCUCUAGUGGUAUUAGACACACAGAGAUGAAAAUCUGACAGCUCAAAAGGAAUGUCAAAAAAACAAUUUAAAAGAUUGUUGUAAAAAAUCCAGGAUGAUUAUAUAUAAACUGUAUUCUGCUCCCCAGACUUUGGCCACAUCAUUUCAAAGAGGAAGAGGGAGGAAGAGAAGUUAUAGAAACCAAAAGCAUCAGCAAGCUUGAAAGGUCCUACCUAGUAGCCCAAAGAGUAUAUGAUCAAUGCCAUAUAGGGACAUGAUUCUUUAUAAUGAAUCAUAUAAUGAUAGUUUUUCAAGGACCGUUACAAUAUAGAAUGAUUGAACAUAGAACAUAAAAUGUUCUAUAGCUAAGCAAAUAAUUUACUAGAUUUGGAGCCAUGAAGAAUUGAGUUAAAGUUCUGCCUCAGACAUUUGUUAGCUAUAUGACCUGGGCAAAUCAUUAAACCUCUCUCUACCUCAGUUUCCUCAUCUAUAUAAUGGACAUAAUAGCAUCCCCCACCCAGGAUUGUUGAUCAUAUGUGAUAAUAUUUGUAAAGUGCUUAGCAUGGUGCUUGGCACAUAGUAAGUGCUUAUAUAAAUGUUGAUGAUGAUGCUGGUGAUAGUGGUAAUGGUGGUGAUUAUGAUAAAAUGAAAGAAUUAUUUGUAAAGUACUCAGUAAAUCUUAAAGAAUUCUACAAAGGCUAGCUAUUUUGAUAACAAAUGGAAGGGGAUUGGUGGUCAACCCAGGAUAGAUAUUUAAUAGAUGGUUGUUGAUUUCUUAAAUUGAAUACCCUCCCAUUUUUCAGAUGAUAAAAUUAAACCCUAAAGAGUAGAUAUGACUGGCCCAAAAUCAUAUAGUAACACAGAGCUGUUUGUUUCCAGUCCAGUGGCAAAUCAGAGACUUUGCUAGGGGAGGAAGGAAUGAUACAGUAUCUCAUUUUUUAAAAACUUUUUACCUUCCAUCUGUAUUGUUUCUAAGGCAGAAGAAUGGAAAGGGCUGGUCAAUAGGAGUUUAGUGACUUGUACAGGGUCCCAUGGCAAGGAAGUGGCUGAGGACAGAAUUGAAACCAGGAUCUCCCAUUUCUAGGCCUGGUUCUAUCCAUUUAGCCACCUGGCCAUCCCUUUGUGCUGUCUUAUUUUGAAGAUAAAGCUACAACCCUUCCAACCAAGCUAUCUUCAUUUUCUCUGAGCGCAGCGUCCCGUUCUCUGCUCUCUCAACACCUCACUAUAUGACAGGAUCAUUUUUGCCAACAUUUUCGAACAAAACUCAACAUGACUCCAACUCCCUCCCUCCAAAAGCAGCCGCAGUCAAAACCUUUAUAUUUUGGUGCCUCUGUGACAAGUGUUACUCCUCUUUUCCAUAGAUCAAACCAGCCCCUGACAGAUACAGCUGAUGAUAUUUUUACUCACAGAUGAAAUCUUACCUCCAUGUGUAUAUUUGACUUGAAGAAAUUCACAUUUCUAGCAAGAGAUAUAGGCUUAAAAAAAAAUCCAAGCAAAGAUUUUGGAAAGCACCAAUACAUUCAGCUAAUUAUAGAACAUGCAGCACUCCAAGUUCCAUGAGAAUAGGUACUACUUGGACAAUAUUUUAUUCUAUAGAAAGAAAAAGUAGAUGGCUGUCAAUGGUCAACCCCUAAGAUUCUUUAACUCCCCUAAACUUACUUGAGUCCCUCAAACCAUGAACAUUUCUUUCCAAGACAAUAAACAAUGCCAACAGAAAAUGGAAAGUAUAAUAACAACAAAAUUAAAUAUAGUAUAAUUAUGGCAUGAAAAAGAGAUGAAAAAUACAUCUCUCCUCAUUUUUUAUAGAGGAAGGGGACUAUAGGCAUGAAAAAUUACAGUCAAAUUUAAUAGGUGUAUUCUUUAGUUUUAUAAAACUACUAUCCCUCCUCUCUAUUUUGUGAGUUACUGAAAAAUAAUUUUCACUAAACUGGAAUGAGGAGGGAUUUGGAAAUUAAGGUAUUAUAAAAUUUUGUCAACAUAUCAACUCAACCUUAAAAACUUUAAAUAAAUGAAAAGAUCUACUUUUAACUACUGUAGCCAUUCUGUUCACAACAUUUAGAAUGGUUAAUCCUAGUAGGGGACUUACACAAAUACAGGAUUUUUGUUUGUUUGUUUGUUGCUCCUAGUGCUUAAAAGACUCUAUAGAUAUGUCUAUUUAUUCAUCAUAAUCAAUAGAAUAAAAAGAAAGAAGAAAGCUAUAUAUUUAGGUGUGACUUAUAAACUUGGUCUUAUGUACCUUGAGAUCUCUCUCUGUGUCUAAUUUCUUCCCCAUAAAAUAAGAGUGUUGGUGUAUAUGCUCUCAAUGUCCCUUCCAAGUCCAAUACUCCAAUGAAGAGUUAUCCCAACACGGAUGUUAUCUCAGGGGAGGAGAAAUAUGCCAUUUUACUGGUGGUUUCUAAAUGGAGUCUCAAUGACCACAUGUUAGAUAGAGUGCUUUAGGUGAAAAUUCCUGUGUUUAUACACCUAUUGUGGGAUGAUCUCUGAGUCUCUUUCAACUCUAAGAUUCUGUGAUUUGGUAUAAUUCUACGACCUAACAUUCUGUAUUCUAAAAUCACUUGUUAUUUUGAUUGCCUAUGUUCUGUGAUUCUAAAGAUCCAAUAUUGCUUCAGAGACACUCAGAAGUCCCCUAAGACUAGAGAAUGUCAGUGCCAGUGCGAGGCAGUAGAAAUGGCAUCUAGUCAGUUGCUUCAUUUUACAGAUGAGCCUUGGAUCUCAUCUUCACCUCCUUAUUUCACAAUGAGCAGGUGGGAUAAGGGAGCCAGUAGCCUAGGGAGAAAAGUAGACAGAGCCAGUGGCUUCCCUCUAGCAAUUGGAGGCCUCAUUAGAGCUGUUAAGUCACUGAAGAAUGAGACAACAGCAUCUUCUUCAAGGAAAAGUCCUAUUUCUCAUAGAGGAUCUGGGAUCCAGGAAGCAGCCUGAGGCCAGACUCCCAUUAAUCUGAACUCACUGCCCCCAAGGAACAUGCUUAAUUUAUGACUCUGAAGUUAGCCACCAUCCCAGAUAUAUUUCCUUGAUGAUUAAACAUUAAACACACAAGUAUUUCAAAGCAUCCAGAAUAGCUCAGAACUAAUGAAGGACUAAUUGCUGUGCUCUAUGUAUUCAAAUACUGAUGUUACCAAAAAAAUAAAAAAACCCUCACAUUCUUAUGUCAACUGUUGCAUCAAUUAAUUGCAAAUUUUCCAACAGUUAGCUGUAGUGUGAUUAAAGCAUAUGAAAAUAAUCUUGUAAUUAGCUUUCAUUUUGAGACAAAUAGACAAUUAAAGCAAAGAAGUAAGUGUGAAAAUUCAGUUGGUCUGCUUUUGGGGGAGGCUUGUAAAAAUAAUUACUGCAUCAUUCGAUAUUAUUUCCUUGGCUAUUUACUAGUUCUUACACUGUUUCUUUCCUUGUUGACACGAUCAAUAUGAAAGCACUACUAUAAACAGAAAGCUCUACAUGGUUGUAAAAUAUUAUUUAUUACUAUUAUUAUUAUUAUCAUUCUUUCUCCACUCAAGUCUUCUUCUUGCUUUGUUAUUUGAUAGGGCUACUAAAUUGGUAGAUUAGAAAAUGCUGUAAUUAUAACAAAAAUUGAUUUUAGCAAAGGGUUUGAGAAGAUAUUUCAUGUUAUAGAGAAGAUGGAAUGAUAUGGAUUAAUCAAGAAUUAGGAUUUAGAUUUGAUUGGAUGGCCAGAUUCAAAGAGCAAUAAUUAAUGGUUCAAUGUCAACAUGGCAAGUAUUCCAGUGGCAUGCCCCCAGGCAUCUGAGUUUGGCCCUGUGUUCUUCAAUGUUUUUAUCAAUGACUUGAAUAAAGGCAGAGAUGGCAGGCUCAUCAAAUUUGCAGAUGACACAAAGCUGAGAGGGAUAGCUAACACAAUGGAUUACAGAAUCAAGAACCAAAAUGAUUUUGAUGGGCUACAGCUUUGGGCUGAAUCUAAUUAGAUGAAAUAAAGAGUUCAUUAGAUAUAAAAGCUUAUGCUUUUGUUCAAAAUUUAACUUCCUAAGUACAAAAUGGGAGCUCUAUGUUUAGAAAGCAGUUUGCCUGGAAAAAGAUCUAGGAGUUUUGAGUGCCUAAAAGCACAAUAUAAGUCAAUAGUGUUAUGUGAUCAUCCCCCCCCCCAAAAAAAUAUAUAUACUAACAUAGCCUUGGGCCAAAUUAAUGGUGAUAUAAAUUCUAGGCAUAAAGAAGUGUUAACCUCUCUGUACUCUGCCUUUGUCAACCUCAUUUAGAGUAUUGUGGUCAAUACAAUGUGCCCUUGAUAUUUUGUGAUUCCAUUCAUAUAUAUAUAUAUAUAUAUAUAUGUAUAAAUGCAUAUAUAUAAUCACAGGUAAUUUACCUGAUAUAUAAACCCACUCAGGCAUACAAAAUUCUAUAUUUUAAAUCAGAAAGUUCUUUCAAAACUGCAAUAUAAUUUACAGUCAAUUUCAAAAACAAAUUUGCUCUAAUGAAAAAUGUUCAGUGUGAAAGCAAUGCUUUUAGAAGAGUUAUAUUUCCCUAAUGGACAACAUGCAGAAGGAAACAUCAAAAUAUGUACAAAUUCUGAGAACACAGCACACGUACAGAACUUAAAUAUCACCAUUUGUUUUCCAAUGAAAUUAGCUAGACAUUACCCAGUGUAAUAAAAUUUCCUUGAUUAUUUUUCAACAUGGCACCAACUUUGUAAUGCUUUGGUCCUCCCCGCUGCCAUGCACCUGAUUAUACUGGCUGCCACAUUUCACAAAAGAACAUCUGCUCUGUCUUCAUGUAGAACCUACAGAUCCACAAACUUGUUAGGCACAAAAAUGUGUAUUCAUGACUCUGUCAUCCCAUCUCCAACCAGGUCUCCAAACAUCGAAGCAAUCCUGUGAACAUGGCCUUCCAGCUGAACAGCUCAGUAUGUAACUCAUGAAACAGUUUCACAAUUCCUAUCUCAUUGUUAUGGGACUCAUAUAAUAGUCAGAGCAAAUGUUAGGAUCUCUCGAAAUAAGAAAGAACAUUGCAGUCAUUAAGUGUUGUAUAGAAUCGUAGACCUGGAAAAGACCUUCAAAUACAGUCAGUCUUGGGAGAGGCCAUAAAACUGGGCAUUCAGAUAUAGAAAAAAGAAUUGAAGAGUUGGAAGAGAGAUUUAAAAAGUUUUACUCUUAUAUAUUACAAAUGAGGGGACCAAAACUUCCUAAUUUAAGAGGGUUUUCUGGAGAUGAAUCUUCAUGAAGAAGACAUUAAUCAAUCAAGGUUAUAUAACUAGGGAAUGACCAAGGCUGAACUAAGUUUGAAUACAACUUCAGCCAAGGCCAGUAGACUUCAUACCACAGCCCAUUGUCUCCCUUUAACUGCUAACUCUCCCUGACCACUUGGAUCACAAUCAAGAGUCAACUUCCUGCUAACCUAGAGAGAAGGAAGAGUUUAUUCAAUAACAUAACUCAAGAAUUACCAAGGACAAUGAUCUUGUGAAUUUUUAGUUGAAGUCAUGUUUAACUUAACAAAGUAUAGUAGAAAAUGGGUCAUGAGUAUGGAAGAUAUUGGUAAAAUGAAGGUGCUAGCACUCCCAAUAAUGGAAUUUUGUAUUCCAAUGUCCAUUUCACCCUUCCAGUGCUGUCUUCUAUACUUAAAAUGGAGACAAGUAGAUGAUACAGUAGAUAAAGUCCUGGGUCUAGAGUCAGGAAGAUAUCUUCUUGUGUUCAAAUCUGACCUCAGACAUGAAUUAUCUGUGUGCCCCUGGGUAAGUCACUUCACUAUGUUUGCCUCAGUUUCCUCAUCUGUAAAUGAGCUGGAGAAGGAAAUGGCAAACCAUUCCAGUAUCUUUGCAGAGAAAACCUUGAACUCAGUUAUGACUGAAACAACUGAACAACGAUAACAGCAAAGCAUUAUAACAUUCUAUACAGUGAGUUCACUUCCAGUUCUAAUACCCCAUGACUCAAAUCAAUAUGUACUUUCUGAUUCUCCUAAAAUUCUAAGCAGAAUAAACCCAAUGGGUAUUAAUACUCAAUUAGUCAUCCAUCAAGAAGCAUUUAUUAAGUAUGUACAAUGUUGUUUUAAAAGUAUAAAUACAAAGAGCAAUAAGACAAAGAGCCUUCCUCUAUGGAAUUUAUAACCGAGUAAGAAGAGAUAUAAAAACAUUAUAAUGCCAAGAAAAAUUUGGAAAUGAAUGAGGACAAAUCAAAUUUCAUGGAGCAUCAAAGGAUGAAGAGAACACUUCUUCCUUUAGUAGAGGGGGAGAGAGUAUCAUGGAAAACUUCCUAAUGAGGCAGGUAGUAAAGCAAGGUGGGCUUUAAUGAAUGGGUAGAAUUUAGACCAGUAGAUGCACAUAGGAAAAAGGACUUGAAAUCCAAAUCUAAGCAGAGGUUAUAGCCUGAACAAAGGCUCAAAAGCAAAAGAAAAAUGAAUGUGUCUGGGGGAUGAAAAUACAUCUGCUCUGAUUAGAGCAUGGAGUAUAUUAAGGGAAGUAAUGGGAAAUAUUUUGGAAGUAAAAUCAACAUUCCUAAAGAUGUGACCACUUAUCAAUGAUAAAUGGGAGGGUGAAGGAAAAGUCUAAAUUAACUGUAGGAUUUUGAACUACAAACACUGAAAAGAUGGAAAGUAUAUGUUAUUGUAAGAAAUGGGGAGCCAAGAGGAAGGCCAAGUUUAGGAUGAUUAUGAACGUAAUUUUCUAAUUCUUGGCACACUUUCCUCAGAUUUAUGUAUAUUCACUUCAUUAUUGUGCAUCUCUUUUAAUCCAAUAUAAGGCUUGAAAAUUCAACUUCACUUUUUAUCUUCAAAUGCCAAGAGAGAAGAAGAGAAUUACAUAUAAAUGAAGCCAAAUAAUGAAAUAAGUCCACUGGAAUAUAAACAUCUUAGUUGGCCCUGAAUUUUAGAUCAAACAUUAAGACACUGUUUUAUUAAAAAUUGGAUUUGUCUCUCCCCAGAAAGCCAUCUUCCUGCAUCCAGAAACAGCAUAUUGGAUUGAUGGAUUUUUGUCAAGAGAUAACAAGUUCCAGUUUUCUAAUAAGCAUUUGUCUCUAUGGCAUUCAAUUCAGGAAGACAAGCUAAUGUUCAGCUCUCCUCAGCAGUGAUCUGUUUGAUUCUUCCUGACUUUGAAGGAGUGUCUUAACCCAGUCUCAUGUCACCCCAGGGGUCACUACUAUAGACCUUUUGCUGACACCAGUCAGAAGGAUCUUCUUGCAAUCUAGUUUAUUUUAAUGUGUGAGUUAUAGAUCAGCAAGGACCAAUAAGCUUUGCAUGCUCUAGUACUUCCAAAAGUGGAAAGAUGGUGUGGACACUCUAUUUACCAGUAUUGACCCCUAACCUCUCAAUCCCCCCACACACACAUAUAUCCAUCUCAUCAGACAGAUUUAAUGAAUACCCUACCUCAGUAAAUACCUAAAUGAAUCUAUGCCCUUAUAAAUGUGAUUUUUUCCCUUCCAAUGAUGUAGAUCUCAGCCCAUUCUGAUCUCUGCCCAUCCUGGAUGCACCUUGUCUAUGCUGUCCUAUAAGUUCAGCCCAGAGUGUUGACCAAAUAUGGUAGCAUGCCUGUCUUACUUUCUUCUGAUAUUAUACAGUUACUUCUUAUUAAGUCAUUUUUUUUCUGUCAUGUCUGACUCGUUGUGACCCUAUUCAGCAUUUUCUGGACAAAGACAUUGGAGCGGCUUGCCAUCUCUUUCUCCAGCACAAUUUUCAAAUGAAUAACUGAGGCAAUAGGAUCAAGUGACUUGCUCAGAGUCACACAACUAAUAAGUGUACAAGGCUGGAUUUGAACUUAGGAAGAUGAGUUCCUCCUAAUUUCAAAUCUAUAUUUCUAUCCACUGGAUCACCUAACUGCCAAGUUCAGAUGCCAGUGGGACAUAAAUACUGUUCACUUGUUAUUUCUUAUGUGACUAGCCCUUCUUUUUUCCAUGGAUAUAUUUCCUUUUCAUACAAACUCAGUUGACAGUCUUUAUGGAUUAGCAUGGUCAAAACAAUAUAGUCUUUGGGGAUGAGCUUUCCGGUGCUAAGAAAGUCUGGAUCUCUGACAACAGACACACAUUUAACCACUGGUCCUGAACUGAAAAUAUUUCUAGUUUAGUAGGAAUGCCAGGCCUUUUCUUCACUGGAAAAGCUUUGAGGCCACUGGGAAGUUGGAAGCUGAUGAUGGAAGAAAAAUCUAAAAGUACUCCUAUGGGAAACAGGAAGAGUUGGGACUCUGAGAUGGGAUGGAAUCAAUCAUGUACUGUCUUCCAUUCAGGCACUGUAAACAAUGCAGCCCUAGAGCUCAGCACCUGAGAAAACAAAGUUAAUUCACCUGACAGCUAUCAUCCUUGUGUCUUGGCCUUUGUCAUCACAAUAAAACAAAUGCAGCCAGCAGCUACCCUUAUAAGUUUAACCUCCUUGAGAUUGACAGAGUAGAGAAAAGGUCAAUGUCAAUCGAGGAAUGUCUGAAUUAGAAUUCUUAUGUAAUAAAAUAAAAGAGUAAACACACCCCAUUUAUGUCAUAGUAUAUGACUAACCAAUGCAAAUCAGGAUAGAUGGCUAAGUAGAGGUUCUUGGAAUUAUCUAAAGGAUUAAAUAAGAGAAAUGCAAAAUGAAUUGAUUUAAAAAAAACAUUGAUUAAGCCUGGGGAUACACAUAGAGAAAUUAAAUAAUUCUUGCUCUCAAGAAGUUCUCCUUUUAUUGGAAGAAAGGGAAUAUGCAGGGGUUUCAGCUGCAAUGUAGAUGGAAAGGUCCUACAGACAGUCCUUACAGUGUAGCAGAAAAGCAAAUUGUAAUAUAGUUUUUGCAGUCAUAUCUAUUCAUGAAACCUUCUCUGCUUCUGAUAUUGAAAAUUUUGCAAAGGAUUUUGAUAGUAAAACUUUGUUUUCUUCCAGAUUUUCAGUAGCUGUGGAUGCUGAAGGGAUGGGGGGAACAUGUAGUGCCUGUAGAGUAAUCUGUAGGCUGUGGCAAUUCAUCAAUGAACAUUUAUUAAGUACCUACUACGUGCCAGGCACAGUGCUAAGUGGGAGGGAGACAAAAACAGUCAAAAGAUAGUCCUUACCCUCAAGGACCUUAAAUCCAGUGGAGGAAGCAAAUAUAUACAAAGUAAGCUAAAUGAAUAAUAGCAAAUAUUUAACAGGGGGAAAGGCACUAGAAAUAAGAGGGAUUGGGAAAGGCUUUUUGUAGAACAUGAGAUUUGACUUGAGACUUAAUGGGAGCCAGAGAGGUCAGGAUAUAUCAGAAAGCUUGGGUGACAUAUUGGAUGGGGCUGAGGGUGAAAAAUAGGGAGAAGUGAAGAAUGAAUACUGUAUUGUGAGCUUGAGGCACUGGGAGGAUGCGAUAUCCUCUGUAGUAAUAGAGGUUGUUGCCUUGUACUUUGGUUGCCAAAAACAGGCUAAAAUCAGGGCCAGGGAUCUGGAUGAUGUUCAUUUCCCCCAAACUCUUGGGUUUGCCUGCCCAUCAGUGGCGGUCGGUACAGUUGGGAGCAUGGAUUUCAGGCUCCUUCUCCACAGGAGCCAUUCUCCUCAAUGAUGGAUGCCAGGGUCAAGCGGAAAAAGAAAUCUUUAGUAUAAGGGCAUUGAUAUUCCUGGAAUUUGGAAGUUCGGGGAGCAUGGGUGGUCUCUACCAGUCUCUGAGGGGAGGUGGUGGUGGAGGUGUUUUGACACAUCUGGCACAUGCCACUUCCUUUCUCUCCCUCAGGGUGCCUGGCUACUUUAGCUUGGGGGACUGGUAUCCAACUCAUUGGUAGUAGUUGAUUGAAAACUCUUGAGGGUGUAAGAAAUUGUGGGCCCCCCUUCAUAGGGGUUAUGCUCUUGGAUGUUGGUUUCUAGACCAGGCUGGAAGUAGGGCUAGUGACCUAGAAGUCAUUGCCACUCCUGUGACUCUAGAGUUAUUAGUGGAAGUUGGAAUCAAUAGUUGGUGGAUGGUGAUAGUGGUGUAAAGCCUCUAUGAAAGUUGUUCCACUUGAUGGUAGCUUCAAGGGCUGGGUAAUGUGGGUUUUAAAAUGUUGGGGGGGGGGAACUGCAUCCCCCAGGGUGCCCCAGGGGCCCCUCCCUACUACUUCCUUCUUGGAUGCACCAAUCCCGUGCUGGGGGAAGGACCACAUCCCCUACUUCCUGGUCUUGAAUUCCACUAAUCCCGUGCUAGGAAGGGGGCCACGCCCCCUACUUCCAGACGCAGGAUUGGUCUAUAUGAGGACCAAUCCCCUGCCUAGGAGGGAAUUUGAGGGAUGCAGUUCCCCUGGCCACAACACUUUAAAACUCACAUUUCGAAGCAGGACCAGCAAUAGAAGAGACACUGCUAUUCCCAGGUCUCUUGGGAUUCAUAUCCAUCAGUGGCAGAUAUUUGGUGUGGGUGAUGGCAUCGGUAGCACUCAGCUCUGCAAGUUGCCCCUUCGUUGAUAGCUUCAAAGGACCAAGCUCGAAAGCAUGCUGGUGGUAAGGGGACUCUACUCUUCAAGGGGCUCUUUAAAUAAUGUGCUAAUUGUUCAUAUGAUGACAAUAGCUUGUACUUAUUCAGUUAUUUAUGAUUUCCAAAUUGCUUUCCUCUCAAUACAUUCCUGAGAAUUAAGCACAGAUAUGCACACCCAUUUUACAGAUGAAGAAACAAUAGCUAAGUUUAGUUUAAAUGAUUUGACUAUGUUGCAUGGUAUUUAUGCUGUAAUUUGUAUUCUGAAUUGAAGGUCUAUAUUCCUUUUGCUAUACUGUAUUUAGUGCCAAGAAUAAAGGUUAAGCAUGAGACAACAAGAUAACACAAUGGAUAGAGCACUGAACCUGGAAUCACUUCUAAAUUCAAACCUUGACCCAAAUCCUUAGCUGUGUGACUCUAGGCAAGUCACUUGACCUCAGUCAAUCUCAUAUUCCUAACCUUUAAAAUGGGAAUAAUAACAGUGUCUGGCUCUCAUGGUUGUUGUGAGGGUAAAAUAAGAUACUACUUGUAAAGCACUAUAUGAAUGCAAAGACAGCUAGAUAGCACUGUGGAUAAUAAAACAUGAUGUACAUCUUCAUGAGUUCAAAUCUGACCUCAGACACUUACUAGCCAUGUGACCCUGUUGGACUCAGCUUCCUCAUUUGGAAAAUGAACUGGAGAAAGGAUUGACAAACCACUUUAGUGCCUUUAUGACUGAAAUGAUUGAACAAUAACAAAUAAUGAAGGCUUCCUAUUAUCUUUAUUCUUAAUAUUCCGCCUUACUUCUCAUUUAGAUUCUUUUCAUUUUCUUAGUUUGCUCUUUCUUCAAAAAUAGUGCCCAGGUCAACUUUGACCUUGACCACAUAAGAAUCAUCAAGACGUAAAGAAAUUGGAUUCUUCAUGAAGAUUUACUGCAGACAAAUGAUUGUCAUUCUCCAUUGCUGAGGCUCCCCACUUCUCUAGAAUCAGGAUUUGAGUAGAUCUGGCAAAAAUCUUAACAAGAAAUUCAGAAGUGAAUAGGAUUUAGAUUUGAAGAGACACAUCAAAGGUCAUUAGCCACAAAGAUCCUUUUAGGUCACCUAUUGAUUGACUUAGAAAAUCACACAUGAACUUUAUUGGAGUCCUAUUAUUUUUUAAAUUAAUUUUUAUUAAAUAUAUCUCUGCUCUUGUUAACCCAAGCCCCUCAUUUCAAGAUGAGCAAAUUAAACUCAGGUAAGAGAAAACAAUUUCCUUAAAGUCAGACAAGUAGCUGAGUGAGAGGAUUUGAACUCGUAGCUCUAGAUCUGUUCCCAAUACUUUUUGCCUCCGUCAUGGAGAUUAGAGAAAGGAGAGACUUGAGAAUGGAAACUUUUAUAAUAUAAAAUGUGUAAGAUUGGAGAGACUUUAGAGUAUAGAACAUUACCACUGGAGGGGAACUUAGAACACAAAAUGUUAGUAAAUAGAGCAGGAGAGCUAGAAUAGACUUUAGAACCUAGUAGGAUAUGUGGAAACAUAAUAGAAUACAACUUGAAGUAUUCUCAGAAAUCCUCUAAUACAAAUCUCAUUUUAUAGAGAAAAAAACUGAGGCUUAGAUAGAAAUAAUUUAUCUUCUCAAGGUCAAGCAACAAAUGUUUGGCCAGGCCUAGGAGCUCUCUCUUAGCACUAAUCCAUCCAUUUUCCAGGGCAGAAUGGCCUUCUUUCCCUGGAUCAAAGAAGAAUAGAGAUGUCAUAUGUAUAAUCACAACACAAAUAUAUACAACUGGAAGAAGAAAUUAAAAUUUGGAAGAAAUAGCUCAAGAGAGGGUUACCCAUGUUAGUCUCCUUGGUCAAUCACAUAGACUCUAGUUAGUCUUUCUAAAGCAAAACUGCUUCCCUCCGCCAGCUUUGGUCUCACUGACAUCUUCAGGUUUUAAAAGACGUUACGAUUGUUCCAGUUGUUGGAUCUCUCACAGUUCAGUGUGGCUGGUAGAGAAGGACCCUCAGAGAAUGCUGUGACCAUCUGAACCCAUCUCUUUUACAUUUGAGCUGAAAUAUAGACUCCAUUCCCUCCUCUUUUUCUGGCCCCAGAAUGUUUCCAAGGUAACCCAAAGUAUAAGGAGACCAAGUUUAUGAAGAUGCUCUAAGAAGCUUGACAAACACAUGUCGGAGGAUUUGCCCAAGGGCAAGGAUCUUUAGCAAACACCUUUCCAUACUUGAACGUAGGACAAUAUUCACACAUACACACAAUCCCCAACAAUCUGCCAUCUUGUGAUCGAGAGAGGAAAUAUAGAGAAAAAUGGCCAUGGAGAAAAGAAGACCUAGGUUCAACUCUCAACUUUGAAUUAUUUAACUGUGGGACCAAGAUCAAGUCAUCGAAUCUCACAGUGUUCCAGGAAAAUUGCUGUAUUAGUGAAAGGAAUUUCUAUGCCAAAAGUUUCCCAUUAUUUUGAAAUCUCAGGUUAGAACUAAAUAUUUCAAACAAGGAAAAACAAAUGACAGCUUCGGAUGGCAAAGAAAGGAGAUGCAAAGGAGAAGGAAAAACAUAUAAAGGAAAUAUAUAUGGGGUAUUACUGAUAACCUCCAUAGGAUGAUGAAGAAAGAGAGGGAAGUUGUACAACCAGAGAAGUAAAUAGAGACUUGGGCUCAAAUCACCAUUCAACCAUAAUAGAAAGAAGGAAGUAUCUGGAGUGAGAAAAGAAUCCUCAGAACCCACAUUUUGGAAGAGCAGACAUUCUCACAGAUCACAGUUCAUUCUCAAAUGCUAUGAGUAAACCUGAUGUUGGGGGAAUAGACAGAGAUUAAUACUCCUGAGCCCCAACCAGUGUGCUUCCUAUUUAAAUAAAUCAACUACUAUGAUAUUAUUAACUAUUAAACAUGAAAAAUUUAUUAACAAAAGAAAAAAUAAAAGUAAUCCUAACAUUCCACCAAUAAAUCUGGGUAUCUCUCCACAAAGCGUAUAGUAUGAGUGAGACUCAGCACAAACUUACAAAAACUAUAUAUACAUAUAAGUAGGGAAAGGUAAUUUAGUAGGGAAAUGUGCCUGGAAAUACUUAUAAGUACUAACUGCAGACUUGGUAUCUAGCAAACAGACUUCAACAUAUGUCAGCUACUAUAAUUGCUUCUCUUCUGGGCUUCUCACUCUAUUGCUAGAUGAAGCAGUUUCUUUAAUACUCUCAGGCCACUCAAGCAGGGUUAAGCUCUUUGGGUAAAGAAAAGAUUUUUAAGCCCAGAAUCUUCAGAGAUUCCCUUGUUGGCUUCCUUGACUAGGUAUAGUGAAAAACAAUUCCCUUAAGCCUGGGGAAAUGACAAUCUAUACAGUUCUAUCCUCUGAGCUUUGAGAGACUCCAUUUUCUCAAGCCAUAGAGGGCAAUAAAAGACAAUAGAGUCAAGUUUACUUGAGUUUUAGGUAGUAACAGAGAGAGGGGUCAGCUGUGUGUUGCAGUGGAUAGAGUACCACACCUACAGAAAGAAAGGCCCAUCUUCCUGAGUUCAACUUUGGUCUCAGUCUCUUACUAGCUGUGUGACCCUGGACAAGUCACUUUACCCUAUUUGCCUUAGUUUCCUCUUCUGUCAAAUUAUCUGGAGAAUAAAAUGGCAAACCACUCUAGUAUCUUUGUCAAGAAAACUUCUAAUGGGGUCAUGCAGAGUCAGACAAGACUAAAACUACUGAACAAAAACAAUGGAUAGAAAGAAAGGCAAUCUAUCCUUUCCUUCUUCUCUGUUCAACAAAAUAUACCUUUUUUUUCCCCUCAAUCAACUCCCAGUCAGUUGUCCCCCAUUUAUAUCAAUUUCCUGCAUCAAAUGCAGAGAAGCUGUGUCUCUACUCAGUUGCUUCCAACCAGGGUCAGCUUCUGUCUAUGGUUUAGAGCCAUUGAUUUCUAUACUAUCUUCUUUCUUCUGAUGUUUCUCUAGACAGCCUUUUUUGUCAGCUUCUACCUUCCAAUUCCCUGGCUUCUGGUUUUUCUGUCACCAUUACGUGAAAGUAGAGGCUCUUAGGUUAAAAAAUCCAUAUUUCGUUCUAAAUGACACCAAUUAAUAAAGUUUUUUAAUUCAAUUUUCCAUCAAUUAACUUAAAAAUCCUUUUAAAAGUCAUAUGUAAACUACUUUUUGGGAAACAAUGCACUUCAGCUAUUUUUCUUUGUAUUUAUCACACAAUUGGCAUUUUUCUGCCCCCUUUCAGAGAGAAUUUUUCUCUUUUCCUGCAGA